rnacentral:rRNA from 1 species
GCGUUAUCCGGAUUCACUGGGUUUAAAGGCUUUGUAGGCGGAUAUUUAAGUCCGAGGUGAAAUCUCUGAGCUCAACUCAGAAACUGCCUUGGAUACUAUUUAUCUUGAAUAUCGUUGAGGUAGGCGGAAUAUGUCAUGUAGCGGUGAAAUGCUUAGAUAUGACAUAGAACACCGAUUGCGAAGGCAGCUUGCUAAACGAUUAUUGACGCUGAGGCACGAAAGCGUGGGGAUCAAACAGG